rnacentral:rRNA from 1 species
GACCAGACUCCUACGGGAGGCAGCAGUGAGGAAUAUUGGUCAAUGGGCUUACGCCUGAACCAGCCAAGCCGCGUGAGGGAAGACUGCCCUAUGGAUUGUAAACCUCUUUUGCCGGGGAGCAAAAAGCGGUACGUGUACCGCAUCGAGAGUACCCGGAGAAAAAGCAUCGGCUAACUCCGUGCCAGCAGCCGCGGUAAUACGGAGGAUGCGAGCGUUAUCCGGAUUUAUUGGGUUUAAAGGGUGCGUAGGCGGAAUGCCAAGUCAGCGGUAAAAUCGCGGGGCUCAACCUCGCUCUGCCGUUGAAACUGGCGUUCUUGAGUGGGCGAGAAGUAUGCGGAAUGCGUGGUGUAGCGGUGAAAUGCAUAGAUAUCACGCAGAACUCCGAUUGCGAAGGCAGCAUACCGGCGCCCAACUGACGCUGAAGCACGAAAGCGUGGGGAUCGAACAGGAUUAGAUACCCCCGUACUC